rnacentral:tRNA from 1 species
GCAGGCAUAGCUCAGUGGCAGAGCAUUUGCCUUGUUCGCCUUUUGUCCAAUCAUGGGCCGUUGAUCAGGGUUUAUCGACUUCUAAUCGAAAGGUCGCUGGUUCGAGUCCAGCUGCCUGCA